UCCUAAAACUUCUCUAGGCAGAACUGACCAGACUAAGAUCUCAUUAUGUAAAAAUGAUUUUGUGCAAAAAAAAUGUAAUGAAUGUGUUUUGUAUCGCCCAUAAACCUAACCUCAGUUGUUCAAGGAAGCAUAAUUGGUCAC